rnacentral:rRNA from 1 species
AUGUUUGCUGCAACUAUUUCAGUUCUAAGAAGUGUAGCAACUGAUCGCUCAGCUACAAGGAAUUCAAGAGGAGACGUUGUGGGUGCCUUGAAGAUAUUAAACACAUUUGAUUUUGUCUUCAUUCUGCACCUAAUGGAAAGAAUUAUGAAAAUCACGGAUAUCUUGUGUGUGAAACUUCAAAAUAAAAGUUUGGAUAUUGCUAAUGCACUUGAUUGUGUUUCUAACACAAAGUCGUUGCUUGCUGAACUGAGAGAAGAUGGACGGGAAAGUCUUUUUGAAGAUGUCAAAUCAUUUUGUGUGAAACAUGAGAAUGAUAUCCCAGACAUGGAUGAAAGGUAUGUUGAUGUAAUAAAAUCAAGAAAUAAGCAUGAUAACACCACCGUUAUCCAUCAUCAAAGUAGAUGUUUUAAUGUUGCAAUAGAUCAACAAGUGAUAGAGUUGAAUGAUCGAUUCAGUUCUCAAGUUACAGAGCUUCUAGAUCUUUGUUCAUCAUUGGACCCUAGACAUGAUGCCUUCGACAAGUCCAAGAUAUGCACUCUAGUGGAAAAAUUCUACCCUGCUGAUUUUUCUAGUCAAGAAAGAGAUCGGUUGGAGUGUGAAUUACCACAUUUCUAGCUUGAUACAUUGAACCAUCCAAGGUUGUUACGAUUAGUAAUAACUCUUCCGGUGUCAACUGCAACAGCAGAGCGAGCCUUUUCCGCAAUGAAACUUGUCAAGACACGUCUUCGAAGUAAAUUGGGAGAUGAUUUUCUCCGUCAUUGCACUAUAGUCUACAUUGAGAAGGAAAUAGCAGCCAAGUUUAGCUCCGACAAUAUUAUUGAGAUAUUUGAUACUGGUGCUCGUAAAUCCGACUUCAAAUUAAUAGAUAUGUAA